rnacentral:rRNA from 1 species
AGUGAACGCUGGCGGCGUGCCUAAUACAUGCAAGUCGAACGGAGUGGCGCACGGGUGAGUAAUAUAUAGCUAAUCUGCCCCUUGCUGGAGGACAACAGUUAGAAAUGACUGCUAAUACUCCAUAGCAAGGGAUGAGACUAUAUCGUAUCAGCUAGUCGGUGGGGUAACGGCCUACCGAGGCUAUGAUCAGUAGCCGGUCUGAGAGGAUGAACGGCCACAUUGGGACUGAGACACGGCCCAGACUCCUACGGGAGGCAGCAGUGGGGAAUCUUCCGCAAUGGACGAAAGUCUGACGCAGCAACGCCGCGUGGAGGAUGACACUUUUCGGAGCGUAAACUCCUUUUGUUAGGGAAGCGGUACCUAACGAAUAAGCACCGGCUAACUCCGUGCCAGCAGCCGCGGUAAUUC